rfam:Terriglobus saanensis SP1PR4, complete genome.
GCGAAAGUGGCGAAAUUGGCAGACGCACCAGACUUAGGAUCUGGCGGAGCAAUCCGUGGGGGUUCAAGUCCCCCCUUUCGCA